UACGUAGGGGGCAAGCGUUGUCCGGAAUCAUUGGGCGUAAAGCGCGUGUAGGCGGCCCGAUAAGUCCGCUGUGAAAGUCCAGGGCUCAACCCUGGGAUGCCGGUGGAUACUGUCGGGCUCGAGUCCGGAAGAGGCGAGUGGAAUUCCUGGUGUAGCGGUGAAAUGCGCAGAUAUCAGGAGGAACACCAAUGGCGAAGGCAGCUCGCUGGGACGUGACUGACGCUCAGGCACGAAAGCGUGGGGAGCAAACAGG
rnacentral:rRNA from 1 species